ACUGAACGCUAGCGGGAUGCCUUACACAUGCAAGUCGAACGGCAGCACGGACUUCGGUCUGGUGGCGAGUGGCGAACGGGUGAGUAAUGUAUCGGAACGUGCCCAGUAGCGGGGGAUAACUACUCGAAAGAGUAGCUAAUACCGCAUACGCCCUACGGGGGAAAGGGGGGGAUCGCAAGACCUCUCACUAUUGGAGCGGCCGAUAUCGGAUUAGCUAGUUGGUGGGGUAAAGGCGCACCAAGGCGACGAUCCGUAGCUGGUUUGAGAGGACGACCAGCCACACUGGGACUGAGACACGGCCCAGACUCCUACGGGAGGCAGCAGUGGGGAAUUUUGGACAAUGGGGGCAACCCUGAUCCAGCCAUCCCGCGUGUGCGAUGAAGGCCUUCGGGUCGUAAAGCACUUUUGGCAGGAAAGAAAUCGCAUGGGUUAAUACCCUGUGUGGAUGACGGUACCUGCAGAAUAAGCACCGGCUAACUACGUGCCAGCCGCCGCCGUAA
rnacentral:rRNA from 1 species